rnacentral:rRNA from 1 species
CCUACGGGAGGCAGCAGUGAGGAAUAUUGGUCAAUGGACGAGAGUCUGAACCAGCCAAGUAGCGUGAAGGAUGACUGCCCUAUGGGUUGUAAACUUCUUUUAUCUAGGAAUAAAACGACGCACGUGUGCCUUUUUGUAUGUACCCUAUGAAUAAGGAUCGGCUAACUCCGUGCCAGCAGCCGCGGUAAUACGGAGGAUCCGAGCGUUAUCCGGAUUUAUUGGGUUUAAAGGGAGCGUAGAUGGGUUGUUAAGUCAGUUGUGAAAGUUUGGGGCUCAACCGUAAAAUUGCAGUUGAAACUGGCAGUCGUGAGUACAGUUGAGGUAGGCGGAAUGCGUGGUGUAGCGGUGAAAUGCUUAGAUAUCACGAAGAACCCCGAUUGCGAAGGCAGCUGACUAAACUGUAACUGACACUGAGGCUCGAAAGUGUGGGGAUCAAACAGGAUUAGAUACCCUAGUAGUC